GAGAAGUUGCAAAGCCACUGUGGAAACCACUUGAUUGAUGGCUGUGGUUUUACAGCCAUGGGAGCGAGAUGUGUGAGGUGGUACUGCUGAAAGUGCAGGUCUGUACACCAGAGGUGACCAGAGGUCUUGUGGAAGGAGAUGCUUGUACUCUGCUGGCCUGUCUCUCUUAGCUAACCCCUGUAAAACCUCUGAAGUUUAUUCUGCCCACAUACACUACUGAGAACAGAGAAGCCUCUCCUCUGGAGUUUUUAGCAUUCAGCUGGUAAGCUUUUCCCUAUGGCUAAUGGAGCUCAGAUCAGACAGACAACACUUCAGGUGAGAAGCUGGAGCUCUGCCUCUCCCCCAGAAAGUGCAGCACAGCUCUGUGCUGCCGCUGCUCCUUUAGCACCUUUGUGAGUGCUGACUCCAGGCACACACAUGCAAUUUCUUGGAGAUUCUAGUGUGAGUGAAAUGACUCUACAGACAAUUUAAUACCUUCUUGCACAGGAAAGAUAUAUUCUUUUUGCCUUGACUGAAAGAGAGGCAUAAAAUCCCAGGAAAGGAAAUAAAGUGAUUCUGGAUCAAUAGAGAGAAAUGUACAGUAAAUGCUUUAGUAUGUUGUGCAAUAACAAGAGCCCUCGUGCAUUAUAAAUACAGACACUUAGCUUAUCAUGUCCAUGCUGUCAGUCCUUCAGUACCCACAAGGCACUUGAAAAGCACGCAGCUGAGCAGGUCUGAAGCCACCAAAGCUGCCUUAGUGUGGUUUUCUGCUACUUGAAGAGACAACUUGGACUGAGAAUAAUGCUGAGAAGAGCCACCAUCAGCACCCUAGACCUGGACAUACUAGCGGAUGCAAGGCAGAGAAAUCUGUGCUGAAACUGCAUGGAUCUGGCUAAUGUUUUAAACCACCAGCAGCCAUUUCCAUGUCUCUGGGUAACACACAGAUCCCUAUUACACUGCUGGUUACACACAGGUUUCCUGGAUCUAGGGAGCAAUUAACAAGUAAGUGGCUGUGAAGUGAAGGGCAUUUCUGUGUUAGGGAUCUGCAGAAAUCUCUGCAGAGCUGAGGGUUGAGAUAUCUUCAGAGUUAUGAUCCUAACCACAUUAGCUGUGCCCUUGGGACUUGCAGGUCUUCCUUGCUAUACAGAUAGCAAAGUCCCAUAGUCUGGUGAAAUUUGGCUGAUGGAAAUCCAUGCUGUCAGACUUGAUUAGAAGAUGGCCAGGGACAAGCAUAGGGAGAAAAAUCUAUGCUGAUUGCAAACACCUCAUUUCCU